rnacentral:rRNA from 1 species
GCAAGUCGAACGGUAACAGGCCGCAAGGUGCUGACGAGUGGCGAACGGGUGAGUAAUGCAUCGGAACGUGCCCAGUCGUGGGGGAUAACGCAGCGAAAGCUGCGCUAAUACCGCAUACGAUCUAUGGAUGAAAGCGGGGGACCGUAAGGCCUCGCGCGAUUGGAGCGGCCGAUGUCAGAUUAGGUAGUUGGUGGGGUAAAGGCUCACCAAGCCAACGAUCUGUAGCUGGUCUGAGAGGACGACCAGCCACACUGGAACUGAGACACGGUCCAGACUCCUACGGGAGGCAGCAGUGGGGAAUUUUGGACAAUGGGCGCAAGCCUGAUCCAGCAAUGCCGCGUGCAGGAAGAAGGCCUUCGGGUUGUAAACUGCUUUUGUACGGAACGAAACGGUCUGAGUUAAUACCUCGGGCUAAUGACGGUACCGUAAGAAUAAGCACCGGCUAACUACGUGCCAGCAGCCGCGGUAAUACGUAGGGUGCAAGCGUUAAUCGGAAUUACUGGGCGUAAAGCGUGCGCAGGCGGUGAUGUAAGACAGUCGUGAAAUCCCCGGGCUCAACCUGGGAAUUGCGAUUGUGACUGCAUCGCUGGAGUGCGGCAGAGGGGGAUGGAAUUCCGCGUGUAGCAGUGAAAUGCGUAGAUAUGCGGAGGAACACCGAUGGCGAAGGCAAUCCCCUGGGCCUGCACUGACGCUCAUGCACGAAAGCGUGGGGAGCAAACAGGAUUAGAUACCCUGGUAGUCCACGCCCUAAACGAUGUCAACUGGUUGUUGGGUCUCUUCUGACUCAGUAACGAAGCUAACGCGUGAAGUUGACCGCCUGGGGAGUACGGCCGCAAGGUGGAAACUCAAAGGAAUUGACGGGGACCCGCACAAGCGGUGGAUGAUGUGGUUUAAUUCGA